CCUCACAUUUCCAUGGGUACCCUCCUUCGGCAAGAGCUUAACCCUAGCUCUUCUCUCUACAAACAGAUUGCAAAUGCUGUGAAUGGAGGCAAUCUGGUACCAGAAGAAAUAAUUUUUGGGUUGCUGUCCAAGAGGCUUGAAGAAGGUUACUGCAGAGGCGAAACUGGCUUCAUUUUGGAUGGCAUUCCUCGAACAAGAAUUCAAGCUGAAAUUCUUGAUCAAAUUGCUGAUAUUGAUCUAGUUGUGAAUUUUAAAUGUACUAAAGACAACUUGGUGAAGAGGGAUUUUCUUACUGUAGGAAACUCUAUGUCCUCUGUUACUGAUGCUGGAAGUGCCUUGAAGGAAAAGUUCCGUAUAUAUGCAGAACAGGG
rnacentral:misc_RNA from 1 species